rnacentral:rRNA from 1 species
GUUGAACGCUGGCGGCGUGCUUAACACAUGCAAGUCGAACGAUGAAGCCCAGCUUGCUGGGUGGAUUAGUGGCGAACGGGUGAGUAACACGUGAGUAACCUGCCCUUAACUCUGGGAUAAGCCUGGGAAACUGGGUCUAAUACCGGAUAGGAGCGUCCACCGCAUGGUGGGUGUUGGAAAGAUUUAUCGGUUUUGGAUGGACUCGCGGCCUAUCAGCUUGUUGGUGAGGUAAUGGCUCACCAAGGCGACGACGGGUAGCCGGCCUGAGAGGGUGACCGGCCACACUGGGACUGAGACACGGCCCAGACUCCUACGGGAGGCAGCAGUGGGGAAUAUUGCACAAUGGGCGCAAGCCUGAUGCAGCGACGCCGCGUGAGGGAUGACGGCCUUCGGGUUGUAAACCUCUUUCAGUAGGGAAGAAGCGAAAGUGACGGUACCUGCAGAAGAAGCACCGGCUAACUACGUG